rnacentral:lncRNA from 1 species
AUCACACCAUUGCACUCCAGCCUUGGUGACUGAGUGAGACUCCAACCCUCCCCCCACUGCAAAAAAAAACCUGAUAGGAACAGGACUAUAUGACCACAAUAUGGUAAAGAAUCUGAAUUACAAUGUCCAUCAUUCAUAUUUUUUUAAGUAAAACAUUCUUUUUAACAUAAUCUCAUACCACCUUUACUUUACCAUCAUCUAUAUAAGCAGUCCAUUAUGGCAUGCAUCCUUUGCCCAUGCCAACUUGAAACUCCUUUUGGACAUAGACUGUAUGUAUCUGAAUUAAUAUUGUAUUCCCACUUAGGAAGGUGCCUGGCACACCAUAGGUGUUCAGUAAGAUUCAACUGAAUUCAAGUAGGCAGGUCAAACACUCAUGGGGUCAUUAAUUUGUCCAGAUGGACAUUCAAUUCUGCAGAAGUGUCAGAGAUACCCAAAUUUUGCUUCCAUAGUUUUAUUAAAUAUAAACUAAAUGUACAAGCAAGGAGGAAAGGUUAGUUUACAAAUUUUGCUUCUGGAACUCAAGGACUCUGAAAAAUAGUACUUAGUUAACUUUCAGUCCUCCAGAGAAGAUUUUUUUUGGAAAAUAAUGCCAAAGGGAUCUUGUGGCACACAGCCUUCUAACAUGACUCCCAGAAAUCCGCAUCUCCUGGUGUUCAUGCCAUUGUGUAAUUCCCUUCCAUUGAGUGGGGACUGGAUUUAGUGACUUACUUCCGAUAAGUAGAAUACAGCAGAUGUGAUGUGAUACUACUCCUGAGCUUUGGUUAUAAAAGAUUAUCAUUUCUAUCUUUCUGGCAUCCCCUCUCUGGCUCUUAUGGUGUGCUUGCCCUAAAGGAGAGGGCCAUUGGCAAGGAACUGAGGUGGCCUUCGAUCAACAGCCCACAAGGAAUGGAAUCCUGCCAAUAACAAUCAAAUGGUCCGAGGCAUCCAAGCAUGGCCUAUUGCCUGUGUCUUUAUUCUGAACAGAACAGGGCAGCCUUGGGAAAAUGCUGGCUGCUCAGCUAGCUCACUUAAAAAAAAUCACGUAAGCACUCCCUCUGCUCCUCUUAUUGGUGUUCAAGGCUUGAAGAGAGCUUUAGGGAAGGGUGUCUAAUGGAUCACAUGACUGUACCUACUGGUCCUUUUCCUGCCUUGUUAAUUACAAGGUGUUAUGAUCUUCACCACAGAUUGAUUACAUAAAGGGGAUCAUUUCUUCAUCCCCACCAUUUGCCAUGUAACUUUGUCAUGCCCUGUAUCUCUGACUCUGGCCUCUGUCAUUGACUUGCUGUGCCAAUGUUAGCAAAUGUGAAGCACACACAGGCUUGAAUAGCACUGUGCAACGGGACUUGUUAACACUUACCUUCUACUGUUGCUACAUGAACAUGCCCAGGCUAGCCUGAUGGAUGAUGAGAGACAUGUGGAAUAGAGCAGAGUCACCACAUUCAUCUCAGCUGAGACCUUUCUAGAUGGGUCAACAGCCCUCUACCCCCAGACGUGUGAGCCAGCCCAGCCAAGAUCAGCCAAGUCCAACCUGAAUAAUUGAACACUGAGGUCUUGUUGCAGAAUAAAAGUGUAUUAUUGUAACCCACAGUGGCUUUAUGAUUUUUAAUUAUGCAGCAGUAUUGUGGCAGCAGAUAAUUGAUACAGCCCUCAAAUGGAUAAUCUCUUUGGGUAUGGAGAAACAGGAUUUGGAAACCCAUAAGUGUAAGCCUUCAUAUAUGGGUAGAACAGGUUUCUUGCUCACAAGAGACACCAACUUAAAUUGAAAAGAAAGUGGUUUUGGACUAGUGCUAGGUACUGGUGCAUAAACCCAUGUAUAUACGCACAGGCUCUUGAGGGGUCAGUGAAAGAAGCUGCUGAAAUGUCACUCGUAGAAUGGGCUUCAAACAGGAGUGGGAUUUUCUCACCUUCAUCUAACUCCCUGCUGUUCUUUAAUGCAACUCUCCUAAGCCCCCAGCAUCCAGGUGUUCCUUUUGCCAUUUAUGAUGCUGCUUCUCUCCUACUUUGGGAUACCCUCCCUCUUUUCUGUUCAUCAUUAUCCCCCUGAUGCUAACCCAUUGAAUGGCUCUAUUUUCCUCUUCUCUGCAGUACUUUUAGGUUUUCAGCAUCUGUGUUACAUGCACUAGGCUUUGGUUUUAUAUGAUUACACAUCAGACUGCAACUAUUCUACAUCUAAUCCCUUAAUUAAUCUAUAAGCUCCUGAGAGGAAAGCUAUGGUACUAAAUGCUUUCACAGCGUAAGGCCAAAGUAAAUGCUUUUGGCACUAAGUAAAGGUUUCACAUAUAUUCAUGCCUUGAUUGAGGUGGAACAGGAGACCUACUAGUGAUAUUUAAUAGAAUGCUACCAAUUUCUUCUGUCUGACUGAAAGGCUCAUAGAUUCUAAGCCAUUCCUUUCCAGAAACAUCUUUAAGAACCAUGCUGCAAUUGCUUGUUGAUCAAGGCUUGUCUAACUAUGGUCCUGCUUGAAGGCAGAGAAGCCAUUUCUAUUCAUCCAACCAACCAUUCAAUAAAUAGUUAAUAGGUUCCUUCUAUGUAGAGGAGAUCUCUAUUAUGUAAGGAUAAGUGAUAGAAGAGAAAGACUUGAGUAUAAAUCCACUGAAAAUCAAGGACCAAAAUUUUAUAAGAGUGAAUAAAGUAAAAUGAUCUCAUUGGGUCUGCAUAUUGAUUAAAAUGAAACAAAUAAUUUAUUUUACCUUAUAUUUAGCAAAAUAUAGACUAUAAACACAACAAUUUGUUAACUCUGAGAAUGAACAAAGAAUGAAUCAAAGGAUGAGAUUUUGGCAUAUUUUUUGACAUCCCUUACCUAACCAUUGAUCUUUAUUGAAAUUUUAAAAAGUCAUGUUAAUUACCCUGACUUGAUUAUUACACGUGGUAUAUAUGUUUCAAAUUAUCCCAUGAUACCCUGUAAAUGUGUACAAUUAUGUAUCAAUUUAAAAUAAUAAAAGACAAGUGAUUUUUUGGAGUGAAAAUAUUUGAGAACUUCCUCAGUUUCCCCAAAGACUUCUAUUAACCCUUUAAUAUUUAAAUCACUAAUGAAAACCCUUUUCCUGACAUUUAUUGUUGAUUUUUUUCUUCUUUCAUUGUUGUGUUCAAUGAAACACAUUUAUUUGUUGUAUUUGUUGGUAGUUUUGUGUGUGUUCCCUCCCAGUGGCCUCUACUAUCCUUUUCAUCAACUUUGUGGAAUCUGUGAAUUAACUUUGCCUGGGGCUUACUUUGUAUUUUGCAUUUUAGCUGAAGACUUCCUCCAAAUGGUUCAUAACUGAUAGGAGGGGAUGGUUGCUAGUGUUAAGCAAGACGGGACAAAGGAGUGGAGACUGAACUUCAAUCAGAUAAACCCAAUAUUUAAACUGUAAGGUCCUUGGCUAUGGAAGGUGACUGGAGAACCAUUGAUCCCUGCAUUUUAUAGGAAAAGCAAGGGCCCAUUGGAACCUGUUGCUGUUGGUAAGAGUCUUGCUAUUGGUAAGAGACUUGCUAUUGGUAAGAGACUUUCUCUUGUGUCUGGCUGUGGAACUCCUCUAAUAGAGUGUUUGAGAUUCCAGAUUUGGCUUCUUGGCACCCUUUUGUGUGACCAGGAAGGAAUGCCUCCUUCAUACCCUGUCUUUUGUCGCCUCUUCUGAGAGGCACAGACUCUUGGCUAUAACUUAACCUUCUCUUUCUUGGCAAGUGAUUGUCCUGCUGUCACUUGGGCUUCUAUAGCCAGCAGUAUUAUAGAAAGGUUCAGUUUUAGCUGCUUCUGGCAUUUCUAAGUGGUAAUAAAAUAGGCCCUCUAAGACCCCAGGCAAACGUCUAAAGUGCGGCAUCCAAAAUAAAAAAUAAAAACCCUUUUCUUUGACAGAUUCAACUCUUGUUUUAAAGCCCCUAGACUGUUAUAUUCCUAAGAGAAGUUCCUCUCUCUUAUCAUCUCUGCCAAUAUAAUAGCAGGAAAGAAAAUCUGUGCUCUCUUCACUCCAGGACAGUUACGACCUAUUGGAGAACUUUGUCUUAGGGGUUCCUUGGGGAGAACAGUAUGAUCCUUUGCAAACACCAAUCAGAAGAGGAAGACCUUACAUUUUAAAAGCUUUGUAUAGCUUAUCUCAUUUUAUUCUUAUAAUGAUUUUAUGAUAUAUGUAGUGUAUGAUUGGUUUAUAUUUGGUUGGAAGUGACAUAAAACCUGAUUCAAAAUAGAUCAGGCAAACGUGAAUUUGUAUGUAGAAAUGGCUUCAGUCUGAAAUGAUCCAAUCUCAGGUUCAGAUUCAUCGUAUUUUUGGGUGGCUCUGUUCUACAAGUUCCUCUCUUUGUAGCAAAUAGCUAUACUAGUUCAAAGCAUCACAUCUUCAUAGAACCAAGCCAAGCCCUCUUUUAUCCAGCCUGGAGUUUACUUCUACUGGAUUGCGCCAGUGGUGUGCUUGUCCCUUAAGCUGAUUGUGUAGAUUUCUUCCUGGCUUCAAGUUCAAGGAUGUCAUGUUGGUAGCUCAACAUCAGCCAUAGUGGGAAUAUUUAGGCCAUAGAAAUUGGCAAUUGCUGAAAAUAAGGCUUUUAUUAUUUACAGAGCCAGUUGUCAAACAUUUGUCAGCACACCUGUUUGUACCCAACUUUUAAGAUUUACCAGAAAAAUGGGCUUAUGCCAUUCAUAGGUGGCUUAGGUACUAGAAGUGAAGUUCAAUCUCAAUCAAAUUACACAUCUAAAAAGGAGGUAAGAUGGUGACCCAAAAUAUAUUCAGGGCACUCUUACCAAGGAAGAGGGGUAAUGGAUGCUAGCCCUAAACAACAGAUACUUUAUUUUCCACAGAAGGAAAAAAUGCUGGCUCUGUAUUUUCGAUGAAGCAGCUGAGACUCAAGUGCUACUCAGGCUUUCAGUGGAGGAAGUGCUAGAUCUGACACUAGAACCCAAUUCUUCUGCAUGUCAGUUUCAUUGUUCUUUCUUCUACACACUUCACUAUUCUUACCUGACCUCUCCAGGGUCUGCCUAACAUGGAGAUUGCCAAGCCUGGGGAUGAUAUGAGUCAUUUCCUACAAAAUCCUUUACCAAGUGAUAUCCAAACAGCAUUGGGAUAUCACUGCUGAAUGGUGGCAUUUCUCUGCCUGCAUUUCUUUACUGACAUUGAAUUCAGACUAACUUCCCCUCUCUUUUUCUUUUUUGGCAGGCUCUCUUUACAAGGUGAAUUUAGACAUAUGAGCACUCCAGGAGGAGAUCUGAUUUGACAAACAUGUCUAGAAAGAGGAAAAGCAAGCACUGGCAUUAACUUGGCUUCCACUGAGACUAGGCUCCAUUAGUGAACUAAAUGUUGGUAUUCUGGGAAAAGCCAGCUUGUUACUGGAAAUUUUAAUUCUUUGAAAAAAAUGGCAUUAGAUUUGCCUUUGGUUGUUGCAUUCCAAGAGCUCUUGCCUAUGAAACCUUUCUUGAUCAUAGAGUGCAGCAAGUCUACCAGAAUGUUCAAUUUAUCUGCUACCAGUCAUCAUUUCUUGCCCUGGCAGACAUUGCUAAUCAAUCUGAUGCUGACUCAGCUCACAUUUAAACUAAGAUUUCCUGAGAUGAUUCUGUAUGCAACCACUACCAACUGAUGAGUGCUGACAUGAAUAUGAAACCUGUUUGAACUCCUUGUGCUUUUAUGGUGUGUACUUUACAAUGAACUCUGAUCUAUUCACUACCAUUGAGUUUUAGUGGCAUUUGAUAAUGUUGCACUUGAUUAUAUUGUUAUAGUAUCCUCUUUUUUGAUUCAAAUCUGUUAAAAAUUGUUUAUCUCCAAAACGUUUAAGUACCUAGGGCACUUGGACUGUGUUUUAUACUACUUUGUGACCUUCCCAGUGUCAAGAUGGGUACAGACUAGAUGCUCAAUAAAUAUUUGGGUGAUUAAUUACCUAAGGAAUUAGGAUUAAUCACCUAAAGGAUUCUUUGGUUGAUAAACCUAAGGAAUUCAAUAGAAUGGAAGUCUAGGAAAAACUUUGCUUGCAUGGAACUAUCAAAGUAAAGCUUUGGACUGUGAAUAAUUCAGUCAACCUGCAAGCCUCGAUUAUCUGCUCCGAGUUUGUGAAGACCAUUGCUGUUGUCCCCGAGGUGUAUUGAUAAGUUAACAUGAUCGUAACUCUCAAGAUGUUUAUGGUUCAGUACCAGGAGCAAGAGAGAUAAGUGUGAUCAUCAGAAUUGUAGAAAUAUAAAAGUGGUGCAGAGGAGAAAGACUGAGAUGAAUGAAGUUGACAAGGAUAACAGGUUGAACACUCCAUAGUGGAAAGAGGCAGUGAGAUGGGAAAUUAUUCCAUAAAGCUUCCUUCAAAGAGUGUCAGCAAGAUGCAAUGCCAAUGGAAUAGAAAAAUCUUUAGAAUCACAGUGUCAUAUUUGAGGGACCUUUGACUUUACAUGAAAUUACCACUGCAUGAGUACAGCAACACUUUAAUCUUGGAUAUUCCUUUAUUAUUUAUUCAUCCAACCUAGCUUGCAUAAAUAUUUCCUUGGGCUUUUUUGUUUUUCCAUGUUUGUUGGCACUGAUUUUUCAGCAAAGGAGCCUCUUAGACUGAAUGUGCUGUUAAACUGUGGCCUCCUAGGCCUAACCCACUUGAUAGCCUGCAGUUUGUGAUGGUACCUCUGCUGCCCACUCCAACCACAUCCCCUUCUUCUACCUGCCUGAUCCACCCAGAUCCCCUCUGAUUAAUUAUUCACACCUAUAUAUCUUCAACUUCCAUUAGGACCUCCCUCACGUUGUGGUGCUUCUUUACCCGCAAAAUGCAGAGCCCUGGCCGGGUGCGGUGGCUCACGCCUGUAAUCCCAGCACUUAGGGAGGC